AGAGGAAAGGAGAACAUCAAUACACUGGAAGGGUAAAGAGGUUGGAGAUUGGAUUACUUAAUUCUUAUGUGCAUUGAAAUUGACUCAAAGAGGGAAGAACAAUCAAAUACAUUGGGGCAGAGAAUUAAUUUGUGCCUGGUCGAGAAGUAGAAGGGUAACAAAUGAACUGGUGAGGAGCAAACACAUCACUUGAGCAUAAAGGUGGCAAAAUUCUGUGCAUCCUACUUGAGGUAAACCAGGUGAAAUCUGAAAUUGACAGAAAAAAUGCUAAGGAUGAAAAAUUGCUCAGCUAAAGAGGAACCAUUGUGGAGUCAAUGCUGUGCACACUAGAUGCUGUGAGUGGAAGUAGGUGUGAUGCCCUUAGGAUAAAGGAUAAGAAGAUUGGAAGAGUUCUGAAUGAAAUGGAAAUCCAGCUGAAACCAUGCCAACUACCAAGAUGCAGAGGCCCUAAGGAAGAUGAGAAACAUGCAAGGUAUCCUGAAAUACCCAACUGCGUCUGGAUGACAACAUUAGAGGCCAAGAGGACUUUACAGAACAGUUAGCUGUGGUAGAGAGGAGAGCUAGCUUGGUGUAGGCUGAGACUGAAGAGUUAAGAGCUUCUUUAGAAGAAACUGAGAGGAGCAAGAAGGUAGGUAAACAAGAAUUUAUGAAUGCUAGUGAACAAGUAUAACUCCUAUACAUGCAGAACACUAGCCUGAUCAAUACCAAUAAGAAGAUAACUCAAGUCCAGGGUGAAAUGAAAAACAUGGUUCAGGAACUCACCAAGAAGACCAUAAGAAUGUUCUCAGGCUUCAGGACCUAGUAGACAAAUUACAAACCAAAGGGAAAGCAAACAAGAGACAAGAUGAAAAGGUGAAGGAGUAGUGCAAUGUCAACCUCUCAAAAUUCCUCAAGAUUCAAAAUGAGCUGGAGGGUCCAGAGGAAUAGACUGACAUUGCUGAAUGCCAAGUCAACAAACAGAGGUUCACACAAAGAUUGUAAGUGAAGAGUAAUCACAUCCAAAUACUUCAAGGUGACUGAAGAAAAACACCUAAUGUAAAAUUUUUGGUCAAUUUAUAAUUAUUGUCUACUCUGUUCUUAAUAUUAAGCCUAAGAAAAAUUUGCAAACCUAAAAAUAAAAAAGUAAAUCAA